AGUCAACCUACCCUAUGGACGGGAAUAACCUCGGGAAACUGAGAAUAAUGCCCGAUAGAACAUUAUGCCUGGAAUGGUUUAUGUUCCAAAUGAUUUAUCGCCGUAGGAUGGGACUGCGGCCUAUCAGUUUGUUGGUGAGGUAAUGGCCCACCAAGACUAUUACAGGUACGGGCUCUGAGAGGAGUGGCCCGGAGAUGGGUACUGAGACACGGACCCAGGCCCUAUGGGGCGCAGCAGGCGAGAAAACUUUGCAAUGUGCGAAAGCACGACAAGGUUAAUCCGAGUGGUUUCUGCUAAAGAAACCUUUUGUCGGUCCUAGAAACACCGAUGAAUAAGGGGUGGGCAAGUUCUGGUGUCAGCCGCCGCGGUAAAACCAGCACCUCAAGUGGUCAGGAUGAUUAUUGGGCCUAAAGCAUCCGUAGCCGGCUCUGUAAGUUUUCGGUUAAAUCUGUAUGCUCAACAUACAGGCUGCCGGGAAUACUGCAGAGCUAGGGAGUGGGAGAGGUAGACGGUACUCGGUAGGAAGGGGUAAAAUCCUUUGAUCUAUUGAUGACCACCUGUGGCGAAGGCGGUCUACCAGAACACGUCCGACGGUGAGGGAUGAAAGCUGGGGGAGCAAACCGGAUUAGAUACCCGGGUAGUCCCAGCUGUAAACUAUGCAAACUCAGUGAUGCAUUGGCUUGUGGCCAAUGCAGUGUUGCAGGGAAGCCGUUAAGUUUGCCGCCUGGGAAGUACGUACGCAAGUAUGAAACUUAAAGGAAUUGGCGGGGGAGCACCACAAGGGGUGAAGCCUGCGGUUC
rnacentral:rRNA from 1 species